UACCUCCUUAUAAGGUGUGCGACGGAGGGCGAUUAGGGUGGUUAGUGCGAUUAGGGAGGUACAGUUAAGGAGGGGAUGGUUUUUAGGGAUGGUGAGGGUCCUCUCUGCGUGCGGCGGCAUGCCUCAGUAGUGGUUGGCGAGGAGGCGGAGAGAGAGAGAGAGAGAGAGAUAGAUCGAUAGAGAGAUAGAGAGAGAGAGGUGCGGGUACACUGCGUUACGCAGGACCUAGCCUCCUUAGCUUACAGCGGCGAGACGGUACAAAGAAAGUCCACGGUUUUGUUGUCCGCGGCGUCGGCCGCCGGUUGUCUCCACAACGUCAUGGUCGUCCCUUCGAGUUCCGGCGGUGGCGGCCACAGCCGACGGGACCACGCCAUCCUUUGUACGUACACGAGCCCCUGUAACCGUUGCAGCAGGUGCGGUGCCGGUCCAGGAGCUGCCUAGGUCGAUGGCCGGGCCGUACCUAGUUAGCAGGUUAGUAGUCCUCCAAGUCGCGAGUUGAGAACUUCUUCCGGGUCCGGCUAGGUAGGUUCUUACCGCAUCUUGACUAAGAUUUAAGGAGGUCGUCGCGCCCGUUGGGACUUCGGGGUAAGCGACAAUGAGCGUCCAACUAACCGUGACCGGCGUGAGGUUGUGACUACCACUUCUUACGUCAAAAAAGAAAAGAAAAACAUGUGUUUACUCCGUUAUGUCAACCGUAGCUACCGACGAUGAGCGACCAGAGAGGAAAUCGUGUCCAAUGGUAGCGGCAGGCGGCGAAGCUACGAGCCGACGACGGGGUACCUGCGUAAGUGGUGUGGGGAUGUCGGCUGAGAGGACGGGAAGUGAGACACCGAUAGGAAGUCCGUACUAAAACUGAGGGACGGUAUGACGGUGGUGCGACGGGACCGAUUAAAAAGAAACAUGUACGUCCCUUUAAUUAAUAUACGUAAAAGAUAAGACAACGGACUACGGGUGAUGAUAACAAACGCCCCUAUCAUGUCGGAUCGGAUCCACGUUACCGUUAUUUCGAAUACUUGAGUAAAAAUUGUACAUGCACUCGUCACUGAACGACCACACUUUGUCCAACCUCCCUUUGUACUUGAGACCGUUAGGUUUUAUCGUUUAUAUUUUAUUGACUUCGAGUACGCUACAUAAAGAUAUUGUUGUUCCUUGUUCAAACAAAAAAUGUAGGCUGGAGCCGGUUCGUUAAAUUCGAAUAUACCCACGAAAAAUAAGAAGUCUCCACGUACAUAACUCUCGCGGGUACUAAAUCCCGUUUUUUCGAUCUGUUUCAUUGUUUGAAACAUGUUUAACAUGAACUUCGGAUACUAUAGGGCAACUACCUGCGACUAACACCAAUAGGAUGAAGUUGUUGCACGAACGGGGAAUCCUCACUGUUUCAUGUCGUACGGCGAAAAAAAUCCUUUGGGGAAGUUGAAUACGUACGUCAUACAACACUUCUUGAUACCGUCUCGGAACAAACAUAGGUACAGAUUACAUAAAAGUAUGACUUAGUUCAUUAUAUGUGAACGGGGGUGUCAGGGCCGUGGCGGAAACGUAAAC
rnacentral:rRNA from 1 species